GGAGAGAAGCAAGUAGAAAUGCCCGCUGCUUCUCGUAUGCAUGACAUGGAAUUACUAAUGAACAACUACACAAUCCCAUUACAUUUUUCGUAACAUGAACCUCAAUUUCAGGAAAGUAGAACAGUUUUUCGGAAGCCUGGUUGUUCAAAGUGAAAGCUUCCCAUGGUUCCCAUGGAUGGCAGAGGCUCAUUUGUAGCCCUUUAGACCUCUCCAAGUUGCAUCUCGUGCAAAUUCAGCUAAACCCGUGAUCCAUGUUUUUGUUCAGCAGCCAACUAAAUAGGUGCAAAACAAACAGAGCCGAUCUCCCCAGUCCUCUCAAAUUUCUCAACUGCGACGAGGUUUGCAAUUAACUUGAAUGAAAGCAAGGCAACCGUUGGAUGGCAGCAAAUUUCGCUUUCUUUGCGCUGGCAGCUUGAAGGUGAUCAUCGAGCUAUCUUAUCAAACGCAUUUCAGCUCUAAACACGAUGAGAAGCACAUUCUUGUGAAUGAAGUUAUUGGACAGAUCAUCUACUUCUGUCUUAUGAAGAUUCCAUGAGUUUUGAAGAAUAUAAUGGACACCAAAUUUACACAGCUGAGUUCAUCUCUUGAAUUUUGAGGCCAUUCAUUUCAAUCCCAGUUAUAAGUUCCUGCAAGGUUGAGUUCAUAUGAUAUUUAACCAUAUAUC